ACAGAGGCCACGAGCGUUAGGCGGAAUCACUGGGCUUAAAGCGUGUGUAGGUGGAUGGGUAAGUACCUUGUGAAAUCCCACGGCUCAACCGUGGAACUGCUUGGUAUACUGCCUGUCUUGAGGCACUCAGGGGCGAGCGGAACAAAUGGUGGAGCGGUGAAAUGCGUAGAUAUCAUUUGGAACGCCAAUGGUGAAAACAGGUAGCUGGGAGUGUGCUGACGCUGAGACACGAAAGCCAGGGGAGCAAACGGGA
rnacentral:rRNA from 1 species